UACGAAGGGUGCAAGCGUUACUCGGAAUUACUGGGCGUAAAGCGUGCGUAGGUGGUUUGUUAAGUCUGAUGUGAAAGCCCUGGGCUCAAUCUGGGAAUGGCAUUGGAAACUGGCAGGCUAGAGUGCGGUAGAGGGCAGUGGAAUUCCCGGUGUAGCAGUGAAAUGCGUAGAGAUCGGGAGGAACAUCUGUGGCGAAGGCGACUGCCUGGACCAGCACUGACACUGAGGCACGAAAGCGUGGGGAGCAAACAGG
rnacentral:rRNA from 1 species